CAGAAGCCAAAGAAGAAGACGGCACGCCAUCUUCGCCACCUCGCGCCAAGAGCGCUCUCAGCAACGCCACUUCUCACCGCAGCAGUGAGGCACAGCGCUUCAAAGGCAACGUGGCGUGGCUUGGUGCCGUGGUGGACAGCGUGGUGCGCAAACUGCGUACCGAGGUGCCGGAGUCCCGUGCUCGAGCAGAACGCGGCCUCGUCGAGGAGUUGUCAAUGUUGCAGAGGCGCCUGCAGCAGUGCGACUCUGUCGGCGAGUUCUUCGACACGCUGAGCAUAUGAAGAUAGCACUGCCUGCGCUGUUUUCUCGCAUCUCCUUAUCGACGUCAUUUGAUUUUGCUUCGCCUUUUUUUUCUCGUUGAUUACGAGUGCCGCUCGCGUUUCAGGUUGAAAUAAAUGAGAGCGCGAGAG